rnacentral:sRNA from 1 species
AGUUUAGCAAUUAAUCCAAGCGGUGUCUCUUUCAGUUCAUCCCAUGUAUCUUGUCUUAUUGAUUCUCUAAUCAUAGGGAAAUCUCCAAGCUUGAUGUUGUGAUUAAUGGCUUUAGCCUCCAGAUUAGAAUCCCCCUCUGGGUAAAGUAUUGGAGGGUAAUCCCUUGCUUGGUCUUCAGCCAUAAAUCAGUCGUAAGGAUACAAUACACUACAAGAAAACAGGUAAACGACGACUACAAUCAGCGACAAUAAACGUAGUCGUAACAUUAUACGACUAGUUGGCGACGGAUUUACGACUCGCCUGCGACAACACGAAAAAUUGUAGUCACAUAGUCGUUGUUUUACGACUAUCGUAUGCAGUCGGCAAAGUGUCGGCAAGUGACGACUAUUUGACGAUUAUAUUAUUGGAGGGAUAUUGUUGUCGUUGUUUAGUCGCUAAUUAACGACUAUUCUACCGUCUAUUUUAUUUAGUCGCUAAUAUGGCGACUACAGGCCGACCAAGUCGUCUAGUCGUCCUGUAGUCGUAGAAACGUCGCACCGUAGUCGUAUAAAGUAGAUGGAAAACAUGUUUUGCAUUGUUAAGUAGGUACACCUAAUUAUUUAGUUGUAGUCGUAAAUUAGUCACAAAAAUUGGCCUAUAUAAUAAACGUUCACGCAACUCUUCUUUCACCAACAAAUCAAAACAACAACAACAUCAA